UGUUGAAGGAUGAUAAAUUUGACGGAAUAUCAUUGAUAUUAUUCAUAUAUGAUAUUAAAAUCAGCUACUUCUGACCACA
rfam:Cicer arietinum chromosome Ca7, whole genome shotgun sequence.